rnacentral:rRNA from 1 species
UCSCCUGUUUAUCAAAAACAUUGCCAGUAGUUAGCUUUAUUGGUAUUUUYUGCUCAAUGAUACUUAAAUAGCCGCAGUACUYUGACUGUGCAAAGGUAGCAUAAUAAAUUGGCUUYUAAUUAAAGUYUNGAAUGAAAGAAACAAUGAAAAAUAACUGUAUCCUAAAUAUAAUACUAAUUUGCUGAGCAAGUGCAAAUUCUUGCAUUUAAAUAAUAGACGAGAAGACCCUAGAAAUUUUUAAAAUUUUUCAUAAGGGGUUUUUGUUGGGGCAACAGUAUAACAUAUAAUCUAUAUUAUAUACAAGAAAUGUAAUUGGAAGAUUAAAUU